rnacentral:rRNA from 1 species
UACACUCCUACGGGAGGCAGCAGUGGGGAAUUUUGGACAAUGGGCGAAAGCCUGAUCCAGCCAUGCCGCGUGCAGGAUGAAGGCCUUCGGGUUGUAAACUGCUUUUGUACGGAACGAAACGGCCUUUUCUAAUAAAGAGGGCUAAUGACGGUACCGUAAGAAUAAGCACCGGCUAACUACGUGCCAGCAGCCGCGGUAAUACGUAGGGUGCAAGCGUUAAUCGGAAUUACUGGGCGUAAAGCGUGCGCAGGCGGUUAUGUAAGACAGUUGUGAAAUCCCCGGGCUCAACCUGGGAACUGCAUCUGUGACUGCAUAGCUAGAGUACGGUAGAGGGGGAUGGAAUUCCGCGUGUAGCAGUGAAAUGCGUAGAUAUGCGGAGGAACACCGAUGGCGAAGGCAAUCCCCUGGACCUGUACUGACGCUCAUGCACGAAAGCGUGGGGAGCAAACAGGAUUAGAUACCCCAGUAGUCCCAUGA